rnacentral:rRNA from 1 species
CAACUUUCAGCAGUGGAUGC